AUACUCUGGUUUCUCUUCAGGUCGUAUAAAUCUUUUGCCUUUUACUAAAGAUAUUGGAACAUGUAGAUAUAGAAUAUAGACUAUUCUUAAGUUUUGUAGCCUGCACUUUGAGAAGCAA